rnacentral:snRNA from 1 species
UCGCUUUGGCGGUGCAUAUACUAAAAUUGGAACGAUACAGAGAAGAAAUAGCAUGGCUCCUGCUCAAGAAUGACACGCAAAAUCGUGAAGCGUUCCAUCUUUUC